rnacentral:rRNA from 1 species
UACGGAGGGUGCAAGCGUUGCUCGGAAUUAUUGGGCGUAAAGGGUAGGUAGGUGGUCUCAUUUGUCUGGGGUGAAAGCCUUGAGCUUAACUCAAGAAGUGCCCUAGAAACGGUGAGACUUGAGUCUUGGAGAGGGUCGUGGAAUUCCCGGUGUAGCGGUGAAAUGCGUAGAGAUCGGGAGGAACACCAGAGGCGAAGGCGACGACCUGGACAAGGACUGACACUCAACUACGAAAGCGUGGGGAGCAAACAGG